rnacentral:sRNA from 1 species
CCUUAGCCCCGAUGGCAGUGAAAAUCCUUUCUAUUUUUUCUUUAAAAAUAGAAAGAUUACAACGGAUAGCGGGAAAUAGG